GAGCUGGACACGCAUCUACAGUUUUACAGAGUAUGCAUUUGAAACAACAACAUAUGCUAAAAAUAAACAAACAAAAACAAAAACAUUUUUGUUUAAUUUUUCCAGCUCGCAGUUCCCCUCCUCGCCGAACGGUGGCGAUGACGCGCUGUUCCUAGCCGAGGCUAGCUUCGCAUUGACAAACAUUAGCUUCGCUUCCAUAUAAUUCAUCCUUUAUUCCUGCUUUAAUCGAAAUAAUUUCUCGGAUGAAACUGUGGUUUACCUUUGUCUGACCGUAACCCGAGAGGAUAAAGUAAGUUUUCCUCAGUUUUUCCCAGCGCUGAAUCGUCCUCGUACGAGUCAUGUCCAGGUUCAGAGGUCCUCCGAGAGACACAGACCGGCGCCCGUACUUCCACCACGAGCCUCCAUUCGACGACCGGGUCAGGCCGUUCAGAGCGCCCCCUGGAGGAGAUCGCCCGCCCUGGGCCGACAGACCGGACUGGCCUCACCGACCUCCUGCUGAUUGGCCGCCCCCUCACCCCCCGCCUCUGAUUGGCCGCCGCCCCGCCCCGCCGCCUCUCAUUGGUCACCGGACGGCGCUCUGAGCGUGUUGAGCAGCUGCGGUUUAGACGCCAGGGACCUGUCGCUGCUGUCGGAGCUUCCUGAAGACAUGCUGACACUCAAGUCUCUGCCUCAGCUGCUCAGCCAGAUCAAGCAGAAGAAGGACCCGUACCUGCCCCCGGGCCACGACCCGUUACCUCCAUUGACCAAUCACAGGCUCCGUACCCGGGCCCCGCCCUCGGACCCCCGGACGCCGGUUUGUAUCGUGAGCCCGGUCCGUCGCAAAGCGCGUUCGUGGUGGAUUACGAGCACCGCACGUCAGACCUGGACUAUCGCAGCAAGAGUCCGGAGCGCUUCUCCGCUCUCGGAUCCGCCGCGGACCGGGGACGAUCCUUCGAACGGAAGCCGCCCUCCGUUCCUUCGGAAACCCAGGCGCGGGACUUCCACGGGACGAAGCCCACAGACUUCCCCUACUCCUGCUCUCUCUGCGAUAUCACCGUGCUGUCGGAGAACGUUUGGACUCAGCACAUAA
rnacentral:lncRNA from 1 species